rnacentral:rRNA from 1 species
UACGUAGGGUGCAAGCGUUAAUCGGAAUUACUGGGCGUAAAGCGUGCGCAGGCGGUUUUGUAAGUCCGCCGUCAAAUCCCAGGGCUCAACCCUGGGAUGCCGGUGGAUACUGUCGAGCUCGAGUCCGGAAGAGGCGAGUGGAAUUCCUGGUGUAGCGGUGAAAUGCGCAGAUAUCAGGAGGAACACCGAUGGCGAAGGCAGCUCGCUGGGACGUGACUGACGCUGGAGACGUGAAAGCGUGGGGAGCAAACAGG